rnacentral:rRNA from 1 species
UACGUAGGGGGCAAGCGUUGUCCGGAUUAUUGGGCGUAAAGAGCGUGUAGGCGGCCUGACAGGUCUGCUGUGAAAACUCGAGGCUCAACCUCGAGAUGUCGGCGGAAACCGUCUGGCUAGAGUCCGGAAGAGGAGAGUGGAAUUCCGUGGUGUAGCGGUGGAAAUGCGCAGAUAAUCAGGAAGAACACCUAUGGCGAAGGCAGCCUCGUCUGGGACGGUACUGACGCUGAGACGCGAAAGCGUGGGGAGCGAACAGGAUUGAGACUACCCGAGU